rnacentral:rRNA from 1 species
AUUGAACGCUGGCGGCAGGCCUAACACAUGCAAGUCGCACGAGUGGCGGACGGGUGAGUAAUGUCUGGGAAACUGCCUGAUGGAGGGGGAUAACUACUGGAAACGGUAGCUAAUACCGCAUACCAUCGGAUGUGCCCAGAUGGGAUGAGCUAGUAGGUGGGGUAAAGGCUCACCUAGGGGACGAUCCCUAGCUGGUCUGAGAGGAUGACAAGCCAAACUGUAACUGAGACACGGUCCAGACUCCUACGGGAGUGAGCAUUGGGGAAUAUUGCACAAUGGGCGCAAGCCUGAUGCAGCCAUGCCGCGUGUAUGAAGAAGGCCUUCGGGUUGUAAAGUACUUUCAGCGGGGAGGCGUUACCCGCAGAAGAAGCACCGGCUAACUCCGGGCCAGCAGCCGCGGUAAUAC